UACGUAGGGUGCAAGCGUUGUCCGGAAUUAUUGGGCGUAAAGAGCUCGUAGGCGGUUUGUCGCGUCUGCUGUGAAAACUCAGGGCUUAACCCUGAGCUUGCAGUGGGUACGGGCAGACUAGAGUGCGGUAGGGGAGACUGGAAUUCCUGGUGUAGCGGUGAAAUGCGCAGAUAUCAGGAGGAACACCGAUGGCGAAGGCAGGUCACUGGGCCGAUACUGACGCUGAGGAGCGAAAGCGUGGGGAGCGAACAGG
rnacentral:rRNA from 1 species